AUCCUUUUUGGUUCAUAAGUGUGAUGAUUAGGGAUUCACACCUCUGCAUGACGUGUGCUGCCCAUUAAACCUUGUUAUGGUGUGGGCACAUUACCUGACGUGAAA